rnacentral:tRNA from 4 species
GCCGGGGUGGCUCAGUUGGUAGAGCGUCGGACUCAUAAUCCGAAGGCCUCGGGUUCAAUCCCCGACCCCGGCA